rnacentral:misc_RNA from 1 species
GAUGAAGAACGUAGCGAAAUGCGAUAAGUAGUGUGAAUUGCAGAAUUCAGUGAAUCAUCGAAUCUUUGAACGCACAUUGCGCCCCUUGGUAUCCCGAGGGGCAUGCCUGUUCGAGCGUCAUUUCACCACUCAAGCCUGGCUUGGUGUUGGGCGACGUCCUCUUUGGGGACGCGCCUCGAAACGCUCGGCGGCGUGGCAUCGGCUUUAAGCGUAGCAGAAUCUUUCGCUUUGGAAGUCGGGGCCCCGUCUGCCGGAAGACCUGCUCGCAAGGUUGACCUCGGAUCAGGCAGGGAUACCCGCUGAACUUAAGCAUAUCAAUAAGCGGAGGA